UCUGUCAUAGUCUAGGUGGUUAGGAUACGCAGCUCUCACCCGAGAGACCUGGGUUCAUGUCCCGGCAAAGGAA
rnacentral:tRNA from 1 species